UCMSAUGGRAGUCGAGCGGAUUCUCUUCGGAGAAGAGCGGCGGACGGGUGAGUAACGCGUGGSCUAACCUGCCCUGUACACACGGAUAACAUACCGAAAGGUAUGCUAAUACGAGAUAAUAUGCUUUUAUCGCAUGGUAGAAGUAUCAAAGCUUUUGCGGUACAGGAUGGACCCGCGUCUGAUUAGCUAGUUGGUAAGGUAACGGCUUACCAAGGCGACGAUCAGUAGCCGACCUGAGAGGGUGAUCGGCCACAUUGGAACUGAGACACGGUCCAAACUCCUACGGGAGGCAGCAGUGGGGAAUAUUGCACAAUGGGCGAAAGCCUGAUGCAGCAACGCCGCGUGAGCGAUGAAGGCCUUCGGGUCGUAAAGCUCUGUCCUCAAGGAAGAUAAUGACGGUACUUGAGGAGGAAGCCCCGGCUAACUACGUGCCAGCAGCCGCGGUAAUACGUAGGGGGCUAGCGUUAUCCGGAAUUACUGGGCGUAAAGGGUGCGUAGGUGGUUUCUUAAGUCAGAGGUGAAAGGCUACGGCUCAACCGUAGUAAGCCUUUGAAACUGGGAAACUUGAGUGCAGGAGAGGAGAGUGGAAUUCCUAGUGUAGCGGUGAAAUGCGUAGAUAUUAGGAGGAACACCAGUUGCGAAGGCGGCUCUCUGGACUGUAACUGACACUGAGGCACGAAAGCGUGGGGGAGCAAACAGGAUUAGAUACCCUGGUAGUCCACGCCGUAAACGAUGAGUACUAGCUGUCGGAGGUUACCCCCUUCGGUGGCGCAGCCUAACGCAUUAAGUACUCCGCCUGGGAAGUACGCUCGCAAGAGUGAAACUCAAAGGAUUUG
rnacentral:rRNA from 1 species